UACGUAGGGGGCUAGCGUUGUCCGGAAUCAUUGGGCGUAAAGCGCGCGUAGGCGGCCAGAUUAGUCCGGUGUGAAAGUCAGAGGCUCAACCUUUGAAUGCCGCUGGAAACUGUCUGGCUUGAGUCCGGAAGGGGCGAGUGGAAUUCCUGGUGUAGCGGUGAAGUGCGCAGAUAUCAGGAGGAACACCAAUUGCGAAGGCAGCUCGCUGGGACGUUACUGACGCUGAGACGCGAAAGCGUGGGGAGCAAACAGG
rnacentral:rRNA from 1 species